rnacentral:rRNA from 1 species
CAGCAGCCGCGGUAAUACGUAGGUGGCAAGCGUUGUCCGGAAUUAUUGGGCGUAAAGGGCUCGCAGGCGGUUUCUUAAGUCUGAUGUGAAAGCCCCCGGCUCAACCGGGGAGGGUCAUUGGAAACUGGGAAACUUGAGUGCAGAAGAGGAGAGUGGAAUUCCACGUGUAGCGGUGAAAUGCGUAGAGACGUGGAGGAACACCGGUGGCGAAGGCGACUCUCUGGUCUGUAACUGACGCUGAGGAGCGAAAGCGUGGGGAGCGAACAGGAUUAGAUACCCCGGUAGUCCCUGUCUCUUAUAC